AUUGAACGCUGGCGGCAGGCCUAACACAUGCAAGUCGAACGGUAACAGGAAGAAGCUUGCUUCUUUGCUGACGAGUGGCGGACGGGUGAGUAAUGUCUGGGAAACUGCCUGAUGGAGGGGGAUAACUACUGGAAACGGUAACUAAUACCGCAUAACGUCGCAAGACCAAAGAGGGGGACCUUCGGGCCUCUUGCCAUCGGCUGUGCCCCGAUGGGAUUAGCUAGUAGGUGGGGUAACGGCUCACCUAGGCGACGAUCCCUAGCUGGUCUGAGAGGAUGACCAGCCACACUGGAACUGAGACACGGUCCAGACUCCUACGGGAGGCAGCAGUGGGGAAUAUUGCACAAUGGGCGCAAGCCUGAUGCAGCCAUGCCGCGUGUAUGAAGAAGGCCUUCGGGUUGUAAAGUACUUUCAGCGGGGAGGAAGGGAGUAAAGUUAAUACCUUUGCUCAUUGACGUUACCCGCAGAAGAAGCACCGGCUAACUCCGUG
rnacentral:rRNA from 1 species